rnacentral:rRNA from 1 species
UAAUUGCUAUUGGGGUCCGAUUUAGCCAUGCUAGUUGCACGAGUUCAUACUCGUGGCGAAAAGCUCAGUAACACGUGGCCAAACUACCCUACAGAGAACGAUAACCUCGGGAAACUGAGGCUAAUAGUUCAUACGGGAGUCAUGCUGGAAUGCCGACUCCCCGAAACGCUCAGGCGCUGUAGGAUGUGGCUGCGGCCGAUUAGGUAGACGGUGGGGUAACGGCCCACCGUGCCGAUAAUCGGUACGGGUUGUGAGAGCAAGAGCCCGGAGACGGAAUCUGAGACAAGAUUCCGGGCCCUACGGGGCGCAGCAGGCGCGAAACCUUUACACUGCACGCAAGUGCGAUAAGGGGACCCCAAGUGCGAGGGCAUAUAGUCCUCGCUUUUCACGACUGUAAGGCGGUCGUGGAAUAAGAGCUGGGCAAGACCGGUGCCAGCCGCCGCGGUAAUACCGGCAGCUCAAGUGAUGACCGAUAUUAUUGGGCCUAAAGCGUCCGUAGCCGGCCACGAAGGUUCAUCGGGAAAUCCGCCAGCUCAACUGGCGGGCGUCCGGUGAAAACCACGUGGCUUGGGACCGGAAGGCUCGAGGGGUACGUCCGGGGUAGGAGUGAAAUCCCGUAAUCCUGGACGGACCACCGAUGGCGAAAGCACCUCGAGAAGACGGAUCCGACGGUGAGGGACGAAAGCUAGGGUCUCGAACCGGAUUAGAUACCCGGGUAGUCCUAGCUGUAAACGAUGCUCGCUAGGUGUGACACAGGCUACGAGCCUGUGUUGUGCCGUAGGGAAGCCGAGAAGCGAGCCGCCUGGGAAGUACGUCCGCAAGG